AGGCAGAUAGUCAGUUUCUCUCUCCUCUUUCUCCUGUAACAGGGGGAGGAAGAGGAGAAGGGAAACAAACUCACAAACAUAAGAAGUCAAAACUCAGUCAAACUUUUAUCUAAAUUCGUUAGUUACUUCGUCAGUCUAGUAGACAAGGAGACGUGAUAUCUUAUUUUUCAAUCACAGGCUUGGAGCUGAAAAUACUACCAUGAUCCAGUAAGAAAAGAAAUACGUCUAGAUCUUUGCAAGACUGUUCCCGUUGCAACAGUGAAGGCUGGGAAGGGCGUCGUAGAUUCAUCCGACCACAGGAUCCGAAACAAGUUCCCGAAAUUGUACAUAUCAUCACCGGUCUUGUGCUCACUUGCCUUGGAACCACCAAUGAAGCAGCUCUUUAUUCUUGGGAGGCUGGACGCUAAUGUGAAAACCUAGACAGUGCUGACCCAGUCUUCAGUGUGACACAGUUCAAUUCAUAUGAAUGGUCACACGAAACUUUUAAACUAAAAUUUAGUGUGAAUUCUUGCGUUGAGGCUGUUGGUUCGUUCCGGGUUGAUUCUAAAGAUAACGUGCUCCAUGGUCAACAAAGGUAAAAGAAUUUGGUUAACUGUGUCGUUGUAUUUAAUUAAUUAGUCCCCACGUCUUCUACACAUGGUGACAGUGGACGAGUGCGCGUUUUGUGCUAGUCUAGCGAUGUAACUACCUCAGGUAUUAUGGAUAAGUUUAGAUUUAGAUAAUUUCUUAAUUCUACUUCGCUUUUAAAUAGAAUCUAGAUAUUUUUAUCCUGUUAUAUAUACAUAAGUGUAUAUAACGCGUUGAUGUUUAUUUCAGUGUGCUCGUGAGUAUGUGAAUGUGUUUGUGUGUGUCUGUGCCGUUUUACCGUAAUGUAACUUUAGUGAGAUAUGAUUUCGUCAAUACAUGUUCUAUGCUUGAAUCUAGAUUGGUGCUAUUAGAUUUAAGGUUUAUAGAUUAUGAUAAUGUUUUUAGUAUUAAGGUUCACACACGCAGAAUUGGUAGGCUUUCAUAUCUUGGCCAAGGUCUGUACAGACCUUGAUCAUACCACUUUUUAGCAUGAAACAUUCAAACAUUCAUUCAAUAUUUUCCUUGUUCAUAUUGUUAAUGCAUUUCAUAUAUUUGCAAUAAGUAUUUGAACUGCAUCUUGCAUAGUGAUUGUUAUUACAUAGUAAUGUACAAUAUUGAAAAUAAAAUCUAACAUCUUAUA